GUAUAUGCUAGAGAUUAAUACUCUGUCUGAGAUGCUGGUGGUAAAGAUUUUCUCCUUUUCUGUAGGCUUUCUGUUCACAUUCUUGAUGGUUUUCUUUGCUAUAAAGAAGUCUUUUAGUUUGACACUGUCCCCUUUAUUGAUUAUUGGUUUUAUUUCUCAUGCUUUAGGAGGAAAAUGAAGGGAAGGGAGGAAUGGAAAUAUAAAGACAAUAGAAUGAAUCGGGCAUAUCUUCCUUAUUAAGGAAGUCGGUUCUUAAGCCAAUAUGGUGGAAAGUUGAUCCUACUUUUUCUUCUAGUAGGUGCAGAGUCUGUGGUCCUUGAUCCACUUUGAGAGUAGUUUUGUGCAGGGUGAGAGAUACAGCUUCAAAUUCAUUCAACUACAUAUGAAUUUCUAGUUUUCUCAGCACCAUUUGUUAAAGAGGCUACCUUUCCUCCAAUGUAUAUUAAUGACACCUGUGUCUAGUAUGAGAUAACUGCAUUUAUGUGCCUUCUAUUCUGUUCCAUUGGUCUUUGUGUUGGUUUUUUUUUUUGCCAAUACCAUGCUGGGUUUUUUGUUGUUAUUGUUGUUGUUGUUUUGUUUUGUUUUACUGUAGCUCUGUAGUAUAAUUUAAGGUUUGGUAUUGUGAUGCCUCCUGCAUCACUUUUUUUGCUAAGGAUUGCUUUGGCUAUUCUGGGCCUUUUAUUUUUUCAAAUGAAUUUUUCUAUUUCUAUGAAGAACAUCAUUGGAAUUUUAAUAGGAAUUGCAUUAAAUCUUUAUGAAACUGUGGCUUUAGAAACAUCAAAUAACUCUCUCAAGAUAUCUAGGUAGUAAGCAGAAUCUCCCAUGCUCCAUACUAUUCUCUCGCGAUACCCUCCUUUUUUUUUCUCUCUCUCUCUCAUUUUUUUUUCUUUAUUUGCAUACUUCUUGAAAAAGUUUCACUUCCUCCUCCUCCUGUCUAGACAGUCUACUGUAGUUGUUUUGUGAUUCCCAUCAUAGCUCUACCACUCGAUGCCAGAUAUUUAUGUUGUUUUGAGACAGUGUUCUCCCUUCAUCUCUUCAUUUCUCUGCUUCUCUUUCUGGUUUUAUUUUCUGACUCUUUUUCCUAUCUUUAUCCUUCAAAUGUAAGAUCUCCAGAGUUCCAUCUCUCCACAGCUUUCUCUUCCUGUUCCACACUUAGCCAAGCCAAUCUCAUUUAUUCCCACACCAGCAACUAUCAUGCUUUCACAAUUGAAGAGCAAAUCCACAUAGUUAAUUCUAGUCUCCUCCAACCCAAUUCCAGCCCCCUGCUGAAAUUUCCUAAUAGUUCUUUCAAAGUACCUCAAAACUCUAUGUGCCCCAUAUCUAACUCACUUCCUUCCUGUUUCUACCCAUGAAUUCCUCACCUGAGUCAGUCACCUAUCAUUAACCACUGGCCCCAUCUUCACAUCCCUUCACUACCCUGAUUUCCCUUUUACUCAGUACAUAGCUGGCACAUCCUCAUACAAAAAAAGCUAUGGAGACACUGUGAUGGACAUAUCCCUGAGCCACGAGGAGAAUCUAGUUCUAAUCUUGGCUUAAUUGUUAAGUAGCUACCUGACUCAGUGGAGC
rnacentral:lncRNA from 1 species